UACGUAGGGUGCAAGCGUUGUCCGGAAUUAUUGGGCGUAAAGAGCUCGUAGGCGGUCUGUCACGUCGGACGUGAAAAUCCAGGGCUCAACCCUGGACCUGCGUUCGAUACGGGCAGACUAGAGUUCGGUAGGGGAGACUGGAAUUCCUGGUGUAGCGGUGAAAUGCGCAGAUAUCAGGAGGAACACCGGUGGCGAAGGCGGGUCGCUGGGCCGAAACUGACGCUGAGGAGCGAAAGCCAGGGGAGCAAACGGG
rnacentral:rRNA from 1 species